rnacentral:rRNA from 1 species
CCGUAGGUGAACCUGCGGAAGGAUCAUAGUUAUGGAGAGGGUCAACGUCCUUCACGGGACGCCCCUCGUUCACAUUAUGGAUGCAAUGCCCUAACCGGCUAGCGGAUCGUCCUCUGUGGCGCCGCACAUCUUUUGAAAGUCUUUGACUACGCUUGAGUAACAUUACUACAAUGAAAUACAACCAGUAACGUUGGAUCCCUUGGCAUGUCAUUCGAUGAAGACCGUUGCAAAAUGCGAUAAGUGGUGUGAUAUGCAAGUCCAAAACUUAUACGUGAACCAUCGAAUUGUUGAACGCACUGCAUCGAUCCUUACCCAGGAACGAUAUGCCCCAUUGAGCGUCAUUAUGUCUUCGCGACCUCAUCUUUCAUUAGGUGUUGUCCGGGUUCGGGAUUCACGGCCUUCAGGUCGCGUCUCCUUAGAUACAUUGCUGCGCAGGAGUCACUGGCGUCCUUGUCAUAAAUGUCGAGGCGCGUCUAUAGUGUGCACCGGCGCAAGAUCAGGUUCCUCGUUGACCAGAUCAAUUGCGAGACCUUUGUUGGGAUUGCAACUUCAAUACAUGACCUCACGGGGGCAGGAUGACCCGCUAGACUUAAGCAUAUUAAUCAGCGGAGGAAAAGAAACUAACUAGGAUUCCCCCAGUAACUGCGAGUGAAGAGGGAUGAGCUCAAUGUGUGAAUCAGGUCGGGAUUAGCUCCUUGCUUGAGUUGUGCACUAUAGACGGCGGAUCAGCGCUUGAAAGCUUGUGGUGUAUGUCCGAUGAAACUCGGUGCCAUAGAGGGUCACAGUCCUGUACUUGCCUUACUAGCUUUUGCGCAUUUGACCGACGUUCUGCGAGUC